GAUGAAGCGUUGGAGACGUUCAUCCCACUCAGGCUUUUUGUUGUUGGCAGUUCUUCAUCAAAGCAGCAGAGGGAGCCUCAAUGCGUCCUGAUGUCCCCUCCAGCUGAUCAGACAGCUGUUCUCUAUCAAAUUACAGAAGUAAUAACAACAAACAGGACAACAAGGAGCACUUCAGUUUAUCACGUUCCAACACAUCUAGAGGAAUCCUUGUUUGACACAAGUGACCCGGACCUCAGCUGGAGCUGGACCCUCCAGGUGCGCGCUGACGAGCCCGAGGAGCGUGCGUGCCGCUGGUCGGAGUCACGCGCACAGGUGAGCUCGGCAUCGUGCGUCCGGGACAGAGUGCGCGGGCUGUACGUGCGCGUGCGCGGCGCGGAUCUCCUCCUCGCGGCCACACCGAGGAAGUCGUGUCCCGAACUUCUCCCCCUUUUUCUCCCCGUUUUCUCCCCGCUGCUUCCGGGCCGCUCGGCUGCGGAGCUCCACGAGGACCCGGUGCCCCGGAGACCGGCAGCUCCGCGCGGGAGAGAGAGCGCGUUUCCACGGCAACACGCGAAGUGA
ensembl:lncRNA